rnacentral:tRNA from 1 species
GCCCUCGUGGUGAAAUCGGCAGACACACAGCGUUCAGGUCGCUGCGAGCGCAAGCUCAUAGAGGUUCAAAUCCUCUCGAGGGCA